rnacentral:rRNA from 1 species
UACGUAGGUGGCGAGCGUUGUCCGGAUUUACUGGGCGUAAAGAGCGCGCAGGCGGUAUGACAAGUCAGAUGUGAAAGAGGCCGGCUUAACCGGCAAGGGUCAUUUGAAACUGUCAGACUAGAGUGCAGCAGAGGAUAGUGGAAUUCCCGGUGUAGUGGUGAAAUGCGUAGAUAUCGGGAGGAACACCAGUGGCGAAGGCGACUAUCUGGGCUGCAACUGACGCUGAGGCGCGAAGGCUAGGGUAGCAAACAGG